GCCGAGGUGAUGAAACUGGCAAACAUUUGCGACUCAAAAUCGCAUGACCGUAAGGUCUUGAGGGUUCAAGUCCCUCCCUCGGCA
rnacentral:tRNA from 1 species